ACUCAAAUGAAUUGACGGGGGCCCGCACAAGCAGCGGAGCAUGUGGUUUAAUUCGAAGCAACGCGAAGAACCUUACCUAGACUUGACAUCUCCUGAAUUACCGGUAAUGCGGGAAGCCCUUCGGGGCAGGAAGACAGGUGGUGCAUGGUUGUCGUCAGCUCGUGUCGUGAGAUGUUGGGUUAAGUCCCGCAACGAGCGCAACCCUUGUCGUUAGUUGCUACCAUUAAGUUGAGCACUCUAGCGAGACUGCCGCGGUUAACGCGGAGGAAGGUGGGGAUGACGUCAAAUCAUCAUGCCCCUUAUGUCUAGGGCUACACACGUGCUACAAUGGUCGGUACAAUGAGACGCAAUACCGCGAGGUGGAGCAAAACUUAUAAAACCGAUCCCAGUUCGGAUUGCAGGCUGCAACUCGCCUGCAUGAAGCCGGAGUUGCUAGUAAUCGCGAAUCAGAAUGUCGCGGUGAAUACGUUCCCGGGCCUUGUACACACCGCCCGU
rnacentral:rRNA from 1 species